AGUCGAGGGGCAGCGGGGGUGAUGGCUUGCCAUCACCCGCCGGCGACCGGCGCACGGGUGAGUAACACGUAUGCAACCUGCCCGCCACAGGGGGAUAAGCGGAAGAAAUUCCGUCUAAUACCGCGUGACGCGGCAUCGGGGCAUCCCGGUGCCGCCAAAGGGAUUACCGGUGGCGGAUGGGCAUGCGGCGCAUUAGCUAGUCGGCGGGGUAACGGCCCACCGAGGCGACGAUGCGUAGGGGUUCUGAGAGGAAGGUCCCCCACACUGGUACUGAGACACGGACCAGACUCCUACGGGAGGCAGCAGUGAGGAAUAUUGGUCAAUGGGCGGGAGCCUGAACCAGCCAAGUCGCGUGAGGGAUGACGGUCCUACGGAUUGUAAACCUCUUUUGCCGGGGAGCAAGCGUGCGUUCGUGAACGCGCGUCGAGAGUACCCGGAGAAAAAGCAUCGGCUAACUCCGUGCCAGCAGCCGCGGUAAUACGGAGGAUGCGAGCGUUAUCCGGAUUUAUUGGGUUUAAAGGGUGCGUAGGCGGGAUGCCAAGUCAGCGGUAAAAAAGCGGUGCUCAACGCCGUCGAGCCGUUGAAACUGGCGUUCUUGAGUGGGCGAGAAGUAUGCGGAAUGCGUGGUGUAGCGGUGAAAUGCAUAGAUAUCACGCAGAACUCCGAUUGCGAAGGCAGCAUACCGGCGCCCUACUGACGCUGAGGCACGAAAGCGUGGGUAUCGAACAGGAUUAGAUACCCUGGUAGUCCACGCAGUAAACGAUGAAUGCUAACUGUCCGGUGCGAAUGAGCGCUGGGCGGUACAGCGAAAGCGUUAAGCAUUCCACCUGGGG
rnacentral:rRNA from 1 species